CUAGUACUCCCUCCGUCCGAAAAUACUUGGCGUCGAGAUGAAUACAAGCGGAUGUAUCUAGAUAUAUUUUAGUUCUAGAUACACCCCUUUUUAACCAUUUUCAUGACAAGUAUUUUCAGACGGAGGGAGUAUAUA
rfam:Triticum aestivum genome assembly, contig: Triticum_aestivum_CS42_TGACv1_scaffold_250227_3DL